rnacentral:piRNA from 1 species
UGAGCAGAAUAGUGUUCAAGGGCUGUGAAU